rnacentral:rRNA from 1 species
UACGGAGGGUGCAAGCGUUAUCCGGAUUCACUGGGUUUAAAGGGUGCGUAGGCGGGCAGGUAAGUCCGACGUGAAAUCUCCGAGCCUAACUCGGAAACUGCGUUGGAUACUAUCCGGCUAGAGGAAUGGAGGGGAGACUGGAAUACUUGGUGUAGCAGUGAAAUGCGUAGAUAUCAAGUGGAACACCAGUGGCGAAGGCGAGUCUCUGGACACUUCCUGACGCUGAGGCACGAAAGCCAGGGGAGCAAACGGG